CUUUCUCCCCUCUCUUUGUCUCAACGCCUUCCCUCCCCACCCCAACUGUGAAGAACUGAAGAUAAAGGAUAUGAUCGGCAGAGAUGUUUAGGGAUUUUUUUUUUUGGUUACAUAAAUCAAUAAUAUACGGAUUUCAAAAAGAUUGAUUCCCAUGUUCGUCAACUCAUGAGCAGCAGUUAUAGAUAAUAGAUCUACCCCUUUUGGAUUUAGAUUAUGAAAUUAAAUCUUAAGGUGUUUGAUGGGUUGAAUUUUGUUCCUUGGAAAAUAAUACUUCAGUCACGUCAAGAACAAAGCUUAGAGAACCCAAAGAUGAAACUGUUACACUAGGACCAUCAGUUGAAAGCUGCUGCCAAAGCUGUAGGACAGGUGGAUCUAGAUUGAAGAAAUAUUGGAUGAAAUUUUGUACCAUGUUGAUUGGUUCUCUAUCAAUUUGUAUGUUGUUGCAGAAGACUAACAAAAGAGUUUUAUGAGCUUGAUUUGCGCAGAUUUUCCUAACAAUGAAAUUGAUUUAUCUACAAACUACAACAUUCUUUAUGUUUUUGAGUCAAAUCUGUCCAUUUGAAAGUAAUGAUGCUGAAAUCCUUAUUUUAUGUAACUGUGAUUUAUUUUCUUUUGUGAAA